AUUGAACGCUGGCGGCAGGCUUAACACAUGCAAGUCGAGCGAGCGGCGGACGGGUGAGUAAUGUCUGGGAAACUGCCUGAUGGAGGGGGAUAACUACUGGAAACGGUAGCUAAUACCGCAUACCAUCAGAUGUGCCCAGAUGGGAUUAGCUGGUGGGUGGGGUAAUGGCUAACCUAGGCGACGAUCCCUAGCUGGUCUGAGAGGAGGACCAGCCAAACGGGAACUGGGAAAGGGUCCAGAUUCCUACGGGGGGAAGAAGUGGGGAAUAUUGGACAAUGGGCGAAAGCCUGAUGCAGCAAGGCCGCGGGGGGGAAGAAGGCCUUCGGGUUUUAAAGCAUGUUCAGCGGGGAGGCGUUACUUGCAGAAGAAGCACCGGCUAACUCCGUGCCAGCAGCCGCGGUAAUUC
rnacentral:rRNA from 1 species